AUGCAAAUAAUGGAGGUCGUCUACCUCGUCUUAGCUCUCUUGUCAUUGUGCAUUGUUCUUCUCUCCAGGCGCUUCCGCAGGCGCUCCACAGCGAACGAGCCUCCCGGGCCGUGGCAGCUGCCGGUGAUCGGCAGCCUGCACCACCUCGCCGGUCAGCUCCCCCACCACGCCAUGCGUGACCUAGCGCAGCGCCACGGGCCGGUGAUGCUCCUCCGGCUCGGGGACGUGCCGACGCUGGUGGUGUCGUCCCCAGAGGGUGCCCUUGAGGUCAUGAAGACACACGACCUGGCGUUCGCGACGCGGCCCCUGCGUGCCACAGCAAGCGUGCUCACCAACGGCGGCCGGGACAUCGUUUUCGCGCCGUACGGCGACUACUGGCGCCAGCUUCGGAAGAUAGCCGUCAUGGAGCUCCUAUCGGCACGGCGUGUCCUGUCCUUCCGCGCCAUCCGCGAAGAGGAGGUCGCCGUCAUGCUCCGAGACGUCGCCGAGGCGGCGGCGGCCACGCGACCCGUGGAGAUGCGCCCUCUCCUCUCGGCCCUCGUCUCUGACAUAACGGUCCGCGCCGUCAUGGGUGACCGCCGGUUCAAGGAGCGCGCCGUGUUCCUCAGCACACUCGACCGCUCCAUGAAGCUCGUAGCGGGCUUCAACCCACCGGACCUGUGGCCGUCAUCCCGGCUUGCUAGCUGGCUCAGCGGGGCCGUGCGCCGCGCCAAGGAGUGCCACGACACCGGGCAUUACAUCCUCGACACCAUCAUCCGGGAGCGACUCGAGAGGCGGAGGAUGGAAGGUGCCGGAAACCAAGACCAGAAGGACGAGCACUUGCUCGACGUGCUGCUAAGCAUGCAGGAGGAGGGCAGACUCGACAUGGACGCCGUCAAAUACGUCAUCUUUGACCUGCUUAGUGGCGGCAGCGAGACAGCUACACUAGAGUGGACGAUCGCUGAGCUGAUAAGGAACCCAAAGGUGAUGCAGAAGGUGACAGCCGAGGUUCGGCAAGCCUUCGAAGCUCGUGGCAGUGUAGCAGAGGACACCCUCGGUGAGCUCCCGUACAUGCAUCUGGUCAUCAGGGAGGCGUUCAGGCUCCACAUGCCCACGCCGUUACUCCUCCCGCGGGAGUGCCGUGAGCCAUGCCAGAUUCUUGGGUACGACGUGCCCCGGGGCACGCAGGUGCUAAUCAAUGUUUGGGCGAUGGGCCGCGAUGAGCGAUACUGGCCCGGCGCGCCUAGCGAGUUCCGGCCGGAGCGGUUUGAGGGCGAGGCGGCCACCGUGGACUUUAGGGGAACCAACUUCUCCUUCCUGCCGUUCGGUUCUGGCAGGAGAACUUGCCCCGGGAUGGCGUUCGGCCUCGCCAACAUCGAGCUCGCUCUCGCAAGCCUGCUGUUCCACUUUGAUUGGGAGGGUCCACCACGGGAGGAGUUGGACAUGGAGGAAGCGUUUGGCAUCACGGCACGGCGGAAGGCCGACCUCCUUCUUCGCCCUGUCCUCCGAGUCCCCCUUCGUGGAGUGGACAGUGGAGAUGUCCGUUAG
rnacentral:rRNA from 1 species